rnacentral:misc_RNA from 1 species
GAACGCACAUUGCACCCUCUGGUAUUCCGGAGGGUAUGCCUGUUUGAGUGUCAUUAAUAUCUCAACACAGAUGGGUUUAAUUGCCUGUUCUGUUGCUUGGUAUUGAAGGCUUGCCGGUAGAUUUGUUUAUCGGCUCCUUUUAAAUAUAUUAGCGGAAACCUGGCGGAAUUGGCUUCAGUUUGAUAAAUUACUUCACUGUACUAACUGCUGCUAAUGAGUGCUAUUGUUUUUGCUUCUAAUAGUCCACUCUUGUUGGACUGUCUCUCUCUGAGGCAUACACAUUUGACACUUGACCUCAAAUCAGGUAGGACUACCCGCUGAACUUA